UCGGAUCUUCAUUAGCUUGCUUUUGAAGAUCAGCGGCGGACGGGUGAGUAACACGUGGGCAACCUGCCUGUAAGACUGGGAUAACUUCGGGAAACCGGAGCUAAUACCGGAUAAUCCUUUCCCUCACAUGAGGGAAAGCUGAAAGACGGUUUCGGCUGUCACUUACAGAUGGGCCCGCGGCGCAUUAGCUAGUUGGUGAGGUAACGGCUCACCAAGGCAACGAUGCGUAGCCGACCUGAGAGGGUGAUCGGCCACACUGGGACUGAGACACGGCCCAGACUCCUACGGGAGGCAGCAGUAGGGAAUCUUCCGCAAUGGACGAAAGUCUGACGGAGCAACGCCGCGUGAACGAUGAAGGCCUUCGGGUCGUAAAGUUCUGUUGUCAGAGAAGAACAAGUACCGGAGUAACUGCCGGUACCUUGACGGUACCUGACCAGAAAGCCACGGCUAACUACGUGCCAGCAGCCGCGGUAAUACGUAGGUGGCAAGCGUUGUCCGGAAUUAUUGGGCGUAAAGCGCGCGCAGGCGGUUCCUUAAGUCUGAUGUGAAAGCCCCCGGCUCAACCGGGGAGGGUCAUUGGAAACUGGGGAACUUGAGUGCAGAAGAGGAGAGCGGAAUUCCACGUGUAGCGGUGAAAUGCGUAGAGAUGUGGAGGAACACCAGUGGCGAAGGCGGCUCUCUGGUCUGUAACUGACGCUGAGGCGCGAAAGCGUGGGGAGCGAACAGGAUUAGAUACCCUGGUAGUCCACGCCGUAAACGAUGAGUGCUAAGUGUUAGAGGGUUUCCGCCCUUUAGUGCUGCAGCAAACGCAUUAAGCACUCCGCCUGGGGAGUACGGCCGCAAGGCUGAAACUCAAAGGAAUUGACGGGGGCCCGCACAAGCGGUGGAGCAUGUGGUUUAAUUCGAAGCAACGCGAAGAACCUUACCAGGUCUUGACAUCCUCUGACAACCCUAGAGAUAGGGCGUUCCCCUUCGGGGGACAGAGUGACAGGUGGUGCAUGGUUGUCGUCAGCUCGUGUCGUGAGAUGUUGGGUUAAGUCCCGCAACGAGCGCAACCCUUGAUCUUAGUUGCCAGCAUUCAGUUGGGCACUCUAAGGUGACUGCCGGUGACAAACCGGAGGAAGGGGGGGAUGACGUCAAAUCAUCAUGCCCCUUAUGACCUGGGGUACACACGUGCUACAAUGGAGGGAACAAAAGGUCCCCAAACCCCCAGGUGGAGCCAAUCCCCUAAAUCCAUUCUCAUUUUGGAUUGGAGGGGGGAUCU
rnacentral:rRNA from 2 species